rnacentral:lncRNA from 1 species
GUAAGCUCUCGGUCUCCACGCCGGGUGCUUGCGUCGGCUAUGAGUGUCAGCUUGUGCUCACCAAGAACGGGAAAGCUGCCCUGUGAGAUUUCUAAAGCUCCUUCAUCGAAUCCUUCCCCCUUUUGUCAACGGGCUUAACAACAUUACCCAUAUAGUCUGCCCACUGAUUGAAAUAGGUGAUGUACUUUUCAUCACUUCUUUUCAAAUGUGUUAAAUUCAGAGGGCGAUGGCCAGACGAGAGAUCACACAGCAUCCUUUUGGCACUUGGAUCUUACUUCUGCUGAUUCUUUCAGUGGCUUUCCUGAGCUCUAAGCUGAAGAGUCUCCUGGAGCCCCCUGAAUCCUCGCUGGUGGAAACGAUGCCCAGAGUGGUGUUGGCUCCAAGACAAGUAAAGAGGAACGUCAAGGUCGUGGUGCCCUAAGCUCUUACAAAGAGAACCCCUGGACUCAGUGAUUAGGGAAACAAUGCCCUGGGUGAAUAAUUGCCUUUUCCUGGGUCAAGAUGCGGAGCCCGCCCAGCCAGUCAAGUUCCACGUGCUGGUCCAGGGAGGAAGUGCCCUGUCCAUCGUGUGGACCCCUCACCUGUGGUUCCCCCAGCACCAGUCCAGAAAGACCCCUUUCCUGGGCUGCCGGCCAGAGCACGGCACCCACUCCCUAGUGAGCAGGGGGCACCUGCUCCCUCUCUCUUUCUUUCUGUUUCUGUCCUUUCUCUUUCUCACUCCCGUGAACAUCUCUCUACCGUGAUUUACAGCCUGUCGUCUAUUCCCACCAUAAAUGCAAACAGUCCCUUUAUUGUGAUUCUGUUUCUGUCUCUGCGGAGGUUGAUUUUGGGCAAAAGCUUGCGUUCCUUGGCUGUAGGAGAUUGUGAGAA